rnacentral:rRNA from 1 species
UGCAUAUCCCAAUAAGCGGAGGAAAAGAAACCAACAGGGAUUGCCUCAGUAACGGCGAGUGAAGCGGCAAAAGCUCAAAUUUUAAAGCUGGCACCCCCGGUGUCCGCGUUGUAAUUUUGUGAGGCAUCUCCGGGUAGGGCGCCGGCCUAAGUUCCUUGGAACAGGACGUCAUAGAGGGUGAGAAUCCCGUGCUUGGCUGGCUGUCCCCGUCCAUGUGAGGUGUCUUCGACGAGUCGAGUUGUUUGGGAAUGCAGCUCAAAAUGGGUGGUAAAUUUCAUCUAAAGCUAAAUAUUGGUGGGAGACCGAUAGCGCACAAGUAGAGUGAUCGAAAGAUGAAAAGCACUUUGAAAAUAGAGUUAAAAAGUACGUGAAAUUGUUGAAAGGGAAGCGCUUGAGACCAGACUUCGGUGGGGAGUGAUCAGCUGUCCUUCUGGGCGGUGCACUUGCUCCCCUCCGGGCCAGCAUCGGUUGGGACGGCGGGAUAAAGGUCCCGGGAAUGUGGCUCCUUUAGGGGAGUGUUAUAGCCCGGGUGAAUGCCGCCAGCCCCGACCGAGGACCGCGCCUUCGGGCUAGGAUGCUUGGCAUAAUGGUCUUCAGCGACCCGUCUUGAAACAACGG